AGUGAACGCUGGCGGUAGGCCUAACACAUGCAAGUCGAACGGCAGCACAGUAAGAGCUUGCUCUUACGGGUGGCGAGUGGCGGACGGGUGAGGAAUACAUCGGAAUCUACUUUUUCGUGGGGGAUAACGUAGGGAAACUUACGCUAAUACCGCAUACGACCUACGGGUGAAAGCAGGGGAUCUUCGGACCUUGCGCGAUUGAAUGAGCCGAUGUCGGAUUAGCUAGUUGGCGGGGUAAAGGCCCACCAAGGCGACGAUCCGUAGCUGGUCUGAGAGGAUGAUGAGCCACACCGGAACUAGGACACGGUCCAGACUCCUACGGGAGGCAGCAGUGGGGAAUAUUGGACAAUGGGCGCAAGCCUGAUCCAGCCAUACCGCGUGGGUGAAGAAGGCCUUCGGGUUGUAAAGCCCUUUUGUUGGGAAAGAAAAGCAGCAGGUUAAUACCCCGCUGUUCUGACGGUACCCAAAGAAUAAGCACCGGCUAACUUCGUG
rnacentral:rRNA from 1 species